rnacentral:rRNA from 1 species
CCUACGGGAGGCUGCAGUGGGGAAUAUUGCACAAUGGGGAAACCCUUAUUCAGCAACGCCCGGGUAGCCAAGAAGGCCCUCGGGUCGGAAAGCCCCUGUCUUAGGGAAGAAGCCUGAAGGGAACUUAGGGGGAAGCCCCGGGCAACCUACGGGCCAGAGGCGCCGGUAAUCCGAAGGGGGGAGGGGUUAUCCGGAAUCACUGGGGGAAAAGGGUGCGUAGGCGGCCCUGCAAGUCAGGAGUUAAAUCCCUCGGCUCAACCGAGGUCAGCUCUUGAAACUGUAGGGCUUGAGUGCAGGAGAGGAGAGCGGAAUUCCUAGUGUAGCGGUGAAAUGCGUAGAUAUUAGGAGGAACACCAGUGGCGAAGGCGGCUCUCUGGACUGCAACUGACGCUGAGGCACGAAAGCGUGGGGAGCAAACAGGAUUAGAUACCCCGGUAGUC